AUAAUAAAGCCAGGAGAUGGUAGGCCAAGGAAAGGUGAAGAGGAAAUGGGCUAUACAGGUGAAGAUGACAGAAGAACAGUAAGAAACUGAAUCCAAGUCGCAAAAUAUUGGAUAUCUUGCUGUACCCAUUGUACAAAGGACUGGCUCAGGUCAUCAUCUGAUUGGUUCCUAGAUAUUUCACAUAGUCGUAUGAGGAAGGGAUUAGCAAGAACAGGUGGGUUUUGAAACAUGAGGAAAACAGAAACGGUCGUCAGCUGCAAAGAUGUCAGAGGAGAAGACCCAACACAGUGGAGAUGGUCUUCUAAAUAACUAAACCAGUUUCCUCAAAGACCUGUUUGCAAAGAUGAGUGGUAGAAAAUAAUUUUAAAAAGAAAAUAUUCCCUCUGUUAAUGAUCAUGAAGAAACCUUUAAUACAAAUUUAAAGAAACUGGAAAGAGAAAAAGGUGUCCAAUAACAUAAAGAAGCAAUGCUGCUAAUGAUCAUUAGGAGCAUUUGAUACUAUUGCUCCCAGAAAAAUAAAUAGCUGAUAAAACAAUUAAUAAAACGCGUGUUAGAGCUGUAGCAAAAGUAAUGCUGGAUACAAUUCCUGUAUGUGCCUCAUUUCCACAGGGUACUUGCCACAUGACAUUUUUCGCAUAUCCAGCACCCAGAUUUUUAAGUGUCCAUGAACAGGACUCUGGUUGUAAUUGUUUUGGUCUACAGCGUAUGAACAAGUCUGGUCGGCCUAUUUCGAUCCUUGCAUAACCACUGGAGUCAAGGGGCUGCAAAUGAAAUCAACUAAUUAAAACUGUAUGUUUCAAAACUUGCAGAACUGACUCUGGCAAAUGUGAUUGAAGUUUAAACUACCAGAAAUUGUAGGGCAAAGAACACCAGUAAAUAGAAAAAUGGACAAACUAUGCUUCAAAGUUUCAGUGGAAAAUGACAAGAGCUAGUUCAGAGAUUCUUCUUAAGGUUAACUAUAUGAAACUGGUGCGAUACCUUCUAUAUGAUUUAAAAAAGUUUAAGAGAUCCCAAUGCUAUAAAAGGAGAAAUAUUCCCCGGAUAAGGAGUGAAAGCCAAAGUGUCUAACUAGAGCUGGCCCCACUAAUUUACAUUUAUUUAGGACCACUAUUCUAAUUUAAGUUUAAAGAAUAGAAAACCUCAUCAUAAAUAUAAUCUACACAUUAGAUUUACGUAUGUUGAAAUAACACUGAUCACGGAUUGUCUGCCCACUUGUUGCUGAGUUAUUGAGUACAACAUAAUCAACAUCCAGGUAUUGUAAAUGUAAAGACAUGCAUACAUGGUAAUACCCAUUUCGCUACAAUACUGUCAACCACCUCAUUUGCUGGAAAAGUGCUUGACUUCAUAUGUGCAAUCUGAUACAGGAAUUAAAGUAACUCAAAUAAAUUGCAAUUACAAGUUUUCUCAUGCAUUCAUCUCCAUUUCUUAUUUAAUAGAAAGCUUAUAUUCUAUGUGAUUCAAACUUCUAAUAAAUAUAAUGAUGAAUCUAAUAUAAAAAGUUUCAUAGGAGAAAACAAAACGAAGAACACAUCAGACAGAAGUAAGAAGAGACGCAUUGGUACCCUAAACAAUGAAUUACUCCAGCAACUUCAGACUCAGAAAGUCGGAAGUUCUACUCAAUAUAAGUCAGCGAGUUAGAAGUCACUGAAGCAAUUCAUUUGAAUCCAAAGAUCUUAGAGUCAGUAAAGAACACGAGAAUAAGGUAGUUCAAUUUUCAAUCCUCAUGGUUGGUUUGGUAUUUCCCUAAUAAAUAAGAUGGAGUCCAGAUGUCAUUUUCCAGUUUUAAGAUGGGUAAAGGGGGCCCUGUGGAGAUUUAAAUCAAGUUUAGAAUGAUUCAAAAAUCUUUACAUGGGGGACGCCAUAGGGAUUUAACUUUGUAGCUUUUCUGUCUCACUCCUCAAAAAGUCGGACUUUCAUUUCCCUGCUUCACGAUAUGAGGCCACACACACUCCCAACCACCCUCCCCACGUGCCUCUGAUCACAUUUUAUAUAUUUUGAUUGAAACAAAUUUUUUUGCUUCAUCUUUAUGAUGCUAACCAUUGCAUGAAGGUUGAUAAUGGACUUCAUGUAUAAUUUUUCUAGUUUCUGUUAUCCUUUGGCAUCUUACAACCCAAGGCUUCAAUAGUCACCCAUAUUACAAUAUAUCAAUGAUUGGACUUGAGACAAUUCUCCAACCAGUAUUGAAAAUUCAAUACAACGCACCAUCAAAACAAUAAUAAGCAUGCCUUUUAUACAGAAGAAAUAUCAUAUUCUCCAACUAUAUGCAUACAAUUAAGUUAAGAAGUUCAUUAGUUGUACACGAAAUGAUGAGGAAAAAAACUCAACACAUUUGGCAUUGAGAGCUUCCUAGUUGUUGAAUGUAACAAACUUUGAAUAAUUUAAGUUUGAUAUGUACAUUAUAUGCAUCCGCUAAACAAUUCACCAAUUUAAAUUACAAAUUUUAAUUAUAUAAAAUGCUAGUUUCAGCAUACAACCCUAAAUUGGACCAACCACACCUACCCAAGUUAGUUUAACAUGUUAGAUUGGACGUAGGUCAAAUCAAUUAUUUAAACGAUAGGAUUAGAGGGUCCAGAUUUUUGUCCGAGUUUAAUUUCAGCUGAAUCUUUAUGAACAGUAUCCAGUAUUUUUUUGGAUUACGAAGUUAAGAUUGUUCAAGUGUUUUAGAUUUUGUCAACUUCAUACCAAGAUGAAGUUCUUAUAUCCCAACUACAAAUGUUCACGGGCCGGCUGACGUUUCCUACCCACUCAAGCCCCAAGCCUUGUUGGGAGGCUUGGACCACGAUUUUAGGCCCGUAGGCAACCCAAACAUGGCCGGAUUCGGGCUUAGAGAUGAAAUUUUGGCCCAAGCUAGCCUGACCUAGAAUUUCUUUUAGCCCUGGGUUUUUAUGAUUAAACUCCUUGGUUUGUUGGUAUGUAAACUUACCGGGCAAAGAUCUACAAUCUUACGGUACUUUAUUUUAGUUAUCUAGUAUUCAAACUGCUGUUGGUAAUAUCUAGUUAUUCAUAUUUAGCAUUUUUUAUUUUUUUAAUUAAUAUCAUUAUUUUUUAAAUUGGGAAAAAUGGUCUGAAAGCUUGAAGCCCUGUCCAAAGUCCGAAGUUCAAGUAAGAGCCAGACUUGGACCUAGAAAAUAGGCACAAAGGUCAAGCUAAGCUAGGCCGAGAAUUAUGUAAAAUAUAUCAACCUUUGGGGAAAAUCCGGCCUAACCCUAGUUUCACCUAGCCUAUGAACGAAGUCUAAUUUCAACUCCUAAGUCAUGCGGUGCCUAUUAUUUUGUGGAGGGGCUCAUAGUCAAGGUGGGAAUGGUCUAUGUAAAAAUUUGGAUAAGGAACAUGCUCUUGUUUAUAUAUAUAUAUAUAUAUAUAUAUAUAUAUAUANNNNNNNNNNNNNNNNNNNNNNNNNNNNNNNNNNNNNNNNNNNNNNNNNNNNNNNNNNNNNNNNNNNNNNNNNNNNNNNNNNNNNNNNNNNNNNNNNNNNNNNNNNNNNNNNNNNNNNNNNNNNNNNNNNNNNNNNNNNNNNNNNNNNNNNNNNNNNNNNNNNNNNNNNNNNNNNNNNNNNNNNNNNNNNNNNNNNNNNNNNNNNNNNNNNNNNNNNGGGUGAUUCAAGAUCCAUGAAAUCAAAGUGGGAUAACCUGGCGCCAUUUCCAACCGGACAAGGGGAAUGGAAAUGCGGGCGGACAAUCGUUGUGCACCUUUGUAAAGUAAACACUAAACACUAUUGAGUUAAAUGAGUAAACGUCUAAUCCUUCAUGCAAUCCUAAUGCAUUGUACAUGUACAACUUACAUACCACUAACUACAUAUUUCUAAGCCAAUUAUAUGCCAAGGAAAGCAAAUGAUGCAAUUAUCCUUAAUUUGCUCAAACAUUCUUUUGUUUUAGACGUAAAGAGCUCUAGUGAUAUAGGUAUCCAAAAAUCUGCACAAACAAAAAAGUUUAGAAUGAAUAUAUAUGGAAAAUAAAGAAAUUACUUAGUGUUUCAAAUAAACAUAAUUCAUUCUUGAGGCAGUUAAAAUGGCUCAUUAAAUGUUAAUGCAUUACCUUUGAUACAUGUUAAUGCAUUAUCUUAAGUACUUUCUCCUUGAAGAUUCGUUUGCAUUCAAUGAACAAAGUAAAAAGAAAAAAUAGAGAAGACUUCAUUCUGAUUUUACUAUACUCUCCCACAGGAGCAGGCAUGAAACCUUGCGAAGCUGCCAAAAUCUUAGCAGUUCCGUAUAAAUCAGCUAGGCUCUGUUUUCCUGUCAAGCAAGCAUCCAUGUUGUUUCAUCAAGUCGUGCUGCGAUAGAACAACCAUCCUGCAAUAGAACUUGGACAGAUUUUAUAAAUCCAACGAACAGGCUCACAGCUUUCCAAGUUCAAUAUAAAAAAGUAAACAUCUCGACUACUUUUUUAGAAACAUCUCAAAAAAAUGCAGUUAGCUCCUACCAAAAUCACACCACAAAACCAUGGAGAGGGUCUGAUGAUAGAUAAACAUUUUCCAACGGACAGAAGCCAAUUGUAGUUGCCACAAUUUCAAGCAAAUCAAUUUGGAUCAAUACGAGCAAAUAAGAGUCUAAAAAGUAGCAGAGAAUAAGGGAAAUAUGUUGGUCUUGCAGAAACAAUGAGGGGGUUUCGAUUGAUCCUAUCCAGGGCUCUGUCUAGCAUAGUUAUAAACGUUUAAGAUUACACUAGAAAAAAGGUAGGAAUGUUAACAGCAAGCCUGCGUUCAUAAUAUUACUACCAAGCAGCUGAUCUGACGUAAAAAACUGAGACCAUGUCAGCUGCAUGAACGGUACAUCCAUUUCAAGAUAGUAGAGAUCUCUCAUUGGUAUACACAAUUUUAUGCAGGCCCAGACAAAGAUGAGUUACCUGCAUGCAUCUUAAAUGCAGGCUUCACCUGAAAAAAUGUUAAUGAGAAAAAAUGUUAAAUUUUUUAUGAGAAAAAAUGUUACCUGCAUGUAUCGACUUCUAUGGAUUAUGAGAAAAAAUGUUAAAUUUUUUGCUUUUCCUGUUUUCAUUUUUUUCUCCACCAGAGUGUUCUCUUAUAUGUUAACAAACCAACACAUGAAAUCCCAUCAAAGACAUUAGGUGAUCAAACAAUGGAACGAACUCGAUUGUUCAUCAAUCUUUUUCUACUAAAAUGACAAAUUACUUCCAUAUUGGAAACCUAUUGGGACAUGCAUUUUCACAAAAUUUCUGGAUAAAACCAUUGCCAGCAGCUGUAUUAUAAUAAAGCCAGGAGAUAGUAGGCCAAGGAAAGGUGAAGAGGAAAUGGGUUAUACAGGUGAAGAUGACAAAAGAACAGUAAGAAACUGAAUCCAAGUCGCAAAAUAUUGGAUAUCUUGUCGUACCCAUUGUACAAAGGAGUGGCUCAGGUCAUCAUCUGAUUGGUUCCUAUAUAUUUCACAUAGCAGGAUUAGGAAGGGAUUAGCAAGAACAGGUGGGUUUUGAAAUAUGAGGAUAAUAGAAACGGUUGUCAGCUGCAAAGAUGUCAGAGGAGAAGACCCAACACAGUGGAGAUGGUCUUCUAACUAACUAAACUAGUUUCCUCAUAGACUUGUUUGCAAAGAUGAGUGGUAGAAAAUAAUUUUAAAAAGAAAAUAUUCCCUCUGCUAAUGAUCAUGAAGAAACCUUUAAUUCCAAAUUUAAAGAAACUGGAAAGAGAAAAGGGCGUGCAAUAACAUAAAAAAGCAAUGCUGCUAAUGAUCAUAAGGAGCAUUUGAUACUAUUGCUCCC
rnacentral:lncRNA from 1 species